rnacentral:rRNA from 1 species
UACGAAGGGGGCUAGCGUUGCUCGGAAUUACUGGGCGUAAAGCGCACGUAGGCGGCUUCUUAAGUCGGUGGUGAAAUCCUGGAGCUCAACUCCAGAACUGCCUUCGAUACUGGGAAGCUCGAGUCCGGGAGAGGUGAGUGGAACUGCGAGUGUAGAGGUGAAAUUCGUAGAUAUUCGCAAGAACACCAGUGGCGAAGGCAGCUCACUGGCCCGGUACUGACGCUGAGGUGCGAAAGCGUGGGGAGCAAACAGG